GCGGCAGUAGUUCAGUGGUAGAAUGUCUCCUUCCCAAGGAGAAGGUCGCCGGUUCAAAUCCGGUCUGCCGCUCUA
rnacentral:tRNA from 4 species